AAGCAAACUCCUCCGUCCACCCACACUUCUCUGAUGAUUCAGGCGUGUGGCCAUCUGCUGGUGCAGUGGCGCUCCUCCCAUAGUCCCAUCGCAUGCACGAUGGUGUGGCGUCUGGCGUGGCAGAUAUGGAUGGCUUAUUGGGUUUUCCUCUCGGUGCAGGGUCCGUGGCAAAGGGGGAGGGCCGACGCCGGCGGGGGGGCCCGGGCAGGGAUGGAGAGAGCGGUCGAGUGGACCUCGGGAGCGAUGACAGAAG
rnacentral:precursor_RNA from 1 species